AUUGAACGCUGGCGGCAGGCCUAACACAUGCAAGUCGAGCGGAUGAACGGAGCUUGCUCCUUGUUUCAGCUGCGGACGGGUGGGUAAUGCCUGGGAAUCUCCCUGGUUGUUGUUGAUAACGUCCGGACGCGGGCGCUCAUACCGCAUAAGUCCUUACGGCGUACGUGUGGGAUCUUCGGACCUCCCGCUAUCAGAUGAGCCUAUGUCGGAAUAGCUAGUUGGUGGGGUAAAGGCCUACCAAGGCGACGAUCCGUAACUGGUCUGAGAGGAUGAUCAGUCACACUGGAACUGAGACACGGUCCAGACUCCUACGGGAGGCAGCAGUGGGGAAUAUUGGACAAUGGGCGCAAGCCUGAUCCAGCCAUGCCGCGUGGGUGAAGAAGGUCUUCGGAUUGUAAAGCCCUUUAAGUGGGGAGGAAGGGCAGUAAGUUAAUACCUUGCUGUUUUGACGGUACCAAAAGAAUAAGCACCGGCUAACUUCGUG
rnacentral:rRNA from 1 species